rnacentral:rRNA from 1 species
UUUCGCAAUGCCCGAAAGGGUGACGAAGCGACGCCGCGUGGGUGAGGAAGGCCUUCGGGUUGUAAAACCCUGUCAGGAGUUAAGAAAUGUAAGUGCGUUAAUACCGCAUUUAUUUGACGAAGGCUCCAAAGGAAGCCACGGCUAACUCUGUGCCAGCAGCCGCGGUAAUACAGAGGUGGCAAGCGUUGUUCGGAAUUAUUGGGCGUAAAGGGCACGUAGGUGGAUUUGUAAGUCAGAUGUGAAAGCCUUCUGUUCAACGGAAGAAGCGCAUCUGAAACUACAAACCUUGAGUAUAGGAGGGGGGAGUGGAACUUCUGGUGGAGCGGUGAAAUGCGUAGAUAUCAGAAGGAACGCCGGCGGCGAAAGCGACUCUCUGGCCUAUAACUGACACUGAGUGUGCGAAAGCUAGGGGAGCAAACGGGAUUAGAUACCCCGGUAGUCCUAGCCGUAAACGAUGGGCACUAAGUAGAGGGGUUUUA